GUAACAAAAAAUAACGACGACAUUUAAUUAGAGAAAUCUAUUAGUCGAUUGUCAUGAGUACAAUGCAAAUAAAUUAAUUAGAAUCAACUGGAGGCAAGUCUGGUGCCAGCAGCCGCGGUAAUCCAGCUCCAGUAGCGUAUAUUUAAGUUGUUAGUAAAUUAAAAAGCUCGUAGUUGAAAUAUGACCUUAUUAUUUGUUUCAAGUGAAAUAAAUUCAUUUGAAAUAAUUAAUAGGUCAUUAUGAGAACAAUUAAACACUUUUUAUAAUUGAAAGAUUAUAGAGAGAAACGUUUUUGUUCAUAUUACCAUAAGUAAAAUAGAGUGUUUAAAGCAGAACGUUUGUUCAUUGAAUAAUAGAGUAUGGGAUAAUAGAAGACGAAAGAGAUAUGAAGUGUUUUUCAAUUUUUAAUGAAAGUUAGGAUUGGUCAUAUUUCUUUAAUGAUUAAUAGGGAC
rnacentral:rRNA from 1 species